UGGAAGGUAGAUUUUCCAAUUAAUCUAUAUAAAAAGUUACAUACAUACAUAUCUUGUGAUACAUGUUAGUGUAAAGUCAUGAUAUGAAAUUAGGCUCGUUUUCUAAGAGUGAGGGUAAAAAAAGGCAUCGACUAUUAUCGAUAGAGAACUUCAGAUAGUUGAUUUGACAAAACAUUAUAUAGGUAAUGUACCAAACUAACCUUCACGUAAACAAAGUAUAGAAAAUUUAAUUAGUAUGAGAUCAUAAUUGUAAUCGCUAUUACGAUGGCAAGACCAGUUAUGAUUAUAGGACGUACAGGUUAUUUUGUUCACAAUAAAAUACAACUGACGAAACUGAAUUAUAAUGGAACAUGCAUAAGUUAUGUGGAAUGAAAACCAUAUUUUCAAUAUUUUUUGAUUCCAUUGAAAUUUUCAAGGCUAUCAAAUUAUUGGAAGAAAUGGUCAAAACCUAAAGUUUAAGGUCAUAAAUUAAAGCUUACUAAACAAGCUUGAAGAGACUUUUUACUGAAAUUGUCUAUCAGUUUUAGUUUUAAUGUUAUAUGAACUUCAACAGUGAAUAAAAACUGAUUUUUUCGAAAAAUCGUUAAAAUUUAAAACAGCCAUAACUUUUAAACUAAUCAACAAAUUGAGGCCAUCUUUGAACUUAACCGUGAUAAUCGCUUGUAGAAUAAGUGUAGAAAAUUUCAUUAAGAACUGAUAAGAACUGUGGGUGCUAUCGUAAUGACAAGACCAGUGAUAAUCAUAGGGCAUAGAGGUUAUUUUGUUCACAAUAAAAUACAACUGACGAAACUGAAUUAUAAUGGAACAUGCAUAAGUUAUGCGGAAUGAAAACCAUGUUUUCAAUAUUUUUCGAUUCCAUUGAAAUUUUCAAGGCUAUCAAAUUAUUGGAAGAAAUGGUCAAAACAUUAAGUUUGACGUCAUAAAUUAAAGCUUAUUAGUCAAGCUUUAAAAUACUUUUUACAGAAAUUAUCCAUGAGUUUUAGUUUUAAAGUUAUAUGAAUUUUAAGAGUGAUUAAAAACUGAUUUUUUCGAAAAAUCGUUAAAAUUUCAAACAGCCAUAACUUUUAAACUAAUCAACUGAUUCAGCCCAUCUUCGAACGCAACUGUAGUAAUUACACAUAGAAUAAGUGCAGAAAAUUUCAUUAAGAUCGGAUAAGAAUCGUAGACGCAAUCGUGUCUUCAAAAGUCGGUCUAUCCCAUACAUAUAUAAAUUUUUUAACGAAUGGUAUUUUUGAACUCUACUCAACUAAUUAUGAAAGUUUAUGACGAAAUUCCUUAAAAAUCGACCAUAAGGACAAAUACAAUAGUUAGAUUUAAAAAAAAAUCGAUCUAAAAAUAUAUAUAUCAAUAAAUAAUAUUUUAUUUCCACGAUUUCUCUAAUAACUAUAAUACGAUUGAUCGACUAAUUUUUUUUAUGUUACUCCUAUAAAAUUACCAGUCUAAUAAAUUCAAACUCGUUGAAAGUUGAGUAAUUUUUUCCUCGCGAUAAACGAUUGAUGCGAAACGAAAUUAAAAAUACAAAUAAACUUUAAUACCGUUUUUUAUUUAAACGUAAUUAUAAUUUUAAAAAUUUGAAAUGAAAUGAUUUGUGUAAUUUAUAAAAGCGCUCGUGACUGUAUAAUAGUCGUUCACUGUCAGUGGCUGUUUAUCACAUUUGGUUACAAAAGAAGAGGGUUGUAAUAAGAGUGUUCUAUUCAUCUGGGCUGAGCAACUCUGUCAUUUGUAUAAUAACAGGCUUAAGAUCAUGUUUUUAUUUCUAUUGUUCACUUUUUUAAUUUUAAUUUUAGUUUUUUUUGCUAUUAUGACUAUUAUUACUAUCAUUCUUUUGAGGAUGUUGCAAAGUUAAGUGCCAGCCAGGCUUUCACGAUAUCAUUGCUGAGAAGUAGUACGAUAUAUUUAUUAUAUAUACGUAUAUUCAUAUUCCCAAAACGAGAAAGACUGUGUUACUGAGGAGAAAUUAAUAAUAAUAAUAUUUAUGGCGAAUUACUACAAGAUUUAUGUCUUUUUUUUUUUAUGUUAAUUAGUUUGGAAAUUUCGAAUGCAAGUCUACUUAUUUAUUGUUGUGUUAAUUAAUUUUUAAGCUAUUUAAAUAUUUAGUUCAAAAAUUGAGAAAAGAAAUGGGAGCAUGACAUUUUUUUUUGUCAAGAAUUAUUUUAUUUUGAAAAUAAUUUAAAAAUUUAUUUGAACUAAAAUUAAAAUGUGGGGAGUAAUGGAAAUUUACAAAAGAAAUUUUGAAGUAAAAAAAAAUUUUUUGAUAAUUUUUUAUGAUCCUGAAGUUAGCAGCCAAUUAAAAAUUUUCUUUUUUUUGUUCAACAAUUUAAUUAAAAAAAAUCGGUCUGUCAGAUGACCCUGCGGGCCAGCCCCAAAACUUCCCGCUGUUUUCGAGCUCGUUGAGCUCGAAAACAUUAUUGUGAAUACAUUUUCGAGCUCUUCGAGCUCGCAAAUACUUUUGUAUGCCAUUGUUUUGUAAAAAACCAUUUUUUAGCAUUUCUUUCUCCCACGAUAUCUCGCGAACGAAUUAACAGAUUUUGAUGGUUGAGGCGGCAAUCGACGUGUUUUAUCAAGUUCUAAAGCUGAUCAAAUUUUGAAAUCGAUUUAUCGAGUCGUUUUUGAGAAAUUUCGAAAAAACCAAAAAAAAAUUUUUUUUUGAAUUCUUUCGUCAACGGUUUCUCUUGAACGAAUGAACCGAUUUUGAUGGUUGAGGUGGCAUUCGACGCGGCUUAUAGAGUUUUAGAGCUGAUUAGAUUUUGGAAUAAAUCCAUCGAGCAAAUUAAAAGUUAUCCAAAUAAAACAUUUUCGAAAAAAUUUUAUUUUUGAAAUAUCUCUGAACGCACCCUACCGAUUAAGUUCAAAUUUUUACGGCUUCAAGACAUUAACAAGCCGCGUCGAAUGACACCUCAACGAUCAAAAUCGGUUCAUCCGUUCAAGAGUUAUGAAUAUUUACAUACAUACAUACGUACGUACGUACGUACACACAUACAUACACUCGGACAUCAUCGUAAAAUUAGUCAGGAUAGCUUCCUAGGACCUCGAAACGUCGACAUCUGAUGGAAAUUCGAUUUUCGUAAAUCGGACCGAAACCAAUAACUUCCCGAAUUUUUGAAAAUUUACAAUUUUCUUAGCGGGAAGUUAAAAAAAUUUGCACAUGUAGAAAAUUAAAAAUUCUAUAGGUGCAAUUUUUUAAAAUAUUUUUUUUUUUAUAAUUUAUCGUUUGAAAAAAAUCCAAAAAUUAUUAGACGUCCGCUAACUUCAGUUUCGUAAUUUUUUUGGGAUUUCUUAAAUAAGAAAAAAAAUUGUGAGUUUUUUUAUGGCUGCUUAAUUUCGUCAGUGCGCUCACUUGCUUUAAUAAAAAUUUGUCUUUGAAAAAAAGGACCCGAGGUUUGAAAAAAAUUCAUUUUUAAUUCAUGCUGGUAAAAGAGGACGAGAUAAUUUGUAAGGGUAAAGAGUUAAAAAAAAAAAUUAGCUCUUGGUAGACGUAAAUAUUGAAAGUGGGCAGUCAUGCGUUUCUGCGACUUAAUUAAAAAAAUUUUUCUACUUGAAAAUAUUUUUAAAAUCCCAACUUUCUUCUUGUAAAAAUUAUUUAAAAAAAAAAAUUUUUUUACUAUGAAAUAUAAACAGCAGUAAAAAAUAUUUUUAUUUUCCUAAUAAUAAAAAAAUAAAUAUAAAAUUCCUCAUACUUUCCCUACUUAUCAUUCCCACUGUAAACAACUUUUUUUACGCGUAUUUUUGAAUAACUUAAAGCCUCUUUUAACCGGCGGUUAAAAUUAAAUAAAUAAAUUGCUUUCGGAAAUUAAAAUUCAAUACUCGUCAGGUGAAAUAAUAACUGCAACAAUUUGUACUGCUUUCUUAAAAAAAAAUUUUAAAUUAAAAACCCCAAUAGAUAAACAAAUAAAUAUGUAUUUCGAAAUGAUAUUUAAAUAAUUUUGUUUUUACGUAAUGUUGUGAAUAGUUUGUGUAAACUAUAGAUUUUAUUCCAGACGUUUACAUUUGAUCCUAUCAUAACUCGAAAGUGGAAUGUGUAUACAUAUUAUAUAUAAAUAUAUAUGUUCUAUCAAACCCUCAGACAGGUUUGAAGACACGAAUGGAAUCCUAAAUUACAUACACACUUUCCUAAAUACAUUUAAUUACGUAAAUUUAAUUAUUUUAAGUCUACUAAAUAAAUAUUAAUUCCAACAACAACAACAACAACAACAACAAUAAUAAUAAUAAUAAUAACGAGCAACCUACAGACACUACAUAACUACCCGAGUAUUACUGCCAAAUUUAUUAAGUAUGAUUUGAAUUUAAUUGUUUAUUAAAAUCUCUACUCUAAAAUUUCCUCUAGAAUUUUUAGUUUAUUUUUAUUAUAAUUGAAAUAUUGGUCUUAUAAAAAAUUUUUUCAAACAAAAGUUGUAGGAAAAUUUAUUUAC